rnacentral:rRNA from 1 species
AGCAUGCCGCGGUGAAUACGUUCCCGGGCCUUGUACACACCGCCCGUCACACCAUGAGAGUCGGGAACACCCGAAGUCCGUAGCCUGACCGCAAGGGGGGCGCGGCCGAAGGCGGGUUCGAUAAUUGGGGUGAAGUCGUAACAAGGUACC